GUGCGGAAGCGGGGGGCGUCGGCGCGUCCCUGCGCGUCCCGCUCGGCCUUCCCGCCCGGUCUCGUCGCCCGACGGCGCGGAACCUGUGUGGACGCCCCGCUGGGGCUCGGUGUACCCGCCGCGGCAAGCAAAGGGCCGGGGCGUUGCGCCGGCGGACCAGAAGCGGGCGUCUCUUCAGCGCGCACAGUCCCGCGCCGGGUGUGUGCGGGGAGCUCGAGACGAGCGCGCCUGGCCGGGCCGGGGGAGCGAGCGCUCGGUGGGCGCUUUGAACGGUGUCCCUGGCCGGGGCCGACUUCCCCUGCGCCGACUUCCGAGCCCUGCCGCGUGCAGAGGCGACGGGGACCGAGCGUGCCCCGCCUUUGCGGCCGGGGACGAGCCUGACUGACCCUCCGGGAGCGCCCUGUUCUCCCGAGGGACAGGGCAGUAAACUGACGAGAGUCACCGUGGGAUUUGGUGAGCGCUUAAUAUCUGUUCGGCCCCGGGCCAAGAGCUAGACCGCAGCACAGAGUUGUGUUGCCUCCUCUCAGAGGCCCCGCCUCACCACGCGGCCCAGGGGUGCCCCUCCUCCGGUCACUGUGACAUCACCCCGUCUUCGCAGUGCUUGGUCGUAGGCGGUGAACAUCCAGAUCGUGUCUCCGCCACCAGGAAACCAGCUCCCGAGGGCUGGGACGUAACACGGUUCGCAGCUGAACCCUCGUGUCUGGAUCCGCGUAGGGCGCAGUAAAAUGCUUGCUGAAGGAAUUAAGUCUCAGCCCACUGACUUUACUUCCUCAGCAGGAUCCUCAGGCUGCGUGUGGGAGGUGGACUCAGAGACCAUGCAGAAAGAAGCAGGAGACCAGAGAGGAGGUGACUGCAGUAGUCCAGGAGAAAGAAGGAGAUUUGGAUACAGACACACCUAAGGGGAAGAAGAGCACGUGAAGAUGGAGGCAGAGAGUGGAGUGAGUAGCUCCAAGGUGAGGAAUGCUAAAGAUCGCUGGCAACCACCGGCAGCUGGGUGGAGCCUUCGGAGGGAGCAUGGCUCUGAUUUCAGACUUCUGGCUUCCCAGGACUG